rnacentral:misc_RNA from 1 species
AAGUCGUAACAAGGUUUCCGUAGGUGAACCUGCGGAAGGAUCAUUAUUGAAUAAACCUGGCGUGGUUGUAGCUGGCUCUUUAGGGAGCAAGUGCUCGCCCGUCAUCUUUAUCUUUCCACCUGUGCACUUCUUGUAGGUCUGGAUGUAAACUUUCCGAGGCAACUCGGUCGGGAGGAAUGUCAACUUUUGUUGGCUUUCCUUGUAUGUCCAGGUCUAUGUUUUCAUAUACUCCAAAGCAUGUAACAGAAUGUGUCUAAGGUCUUUGUGCCUUAUAAACUAUAUACAACUUUCAGCAACGGAUCUCUUGGCUCUC